GCCCGCCUAGCUCAAUCGGAUAGAGCGUCAGACUCUUAAGGUUAGGCAAUCUGAAGGCUGCGAGUUCGACCCUCGCGGUGGGCU
rnacentral:tRNA from 1 species